rnacentral:tRNA from 1 species
GGAGGGAUGGCCCAGUGGCAACGGCACGAGUUCGCUAAACUCGGAUCUCGAAAGGGGUCUCGUGGGUUCGAAUCCCACUCCCUCCG